rnacentral:rRNA from 1 species
CUGGCUCAGGAUGAACGCUGGCGGCGUGCCUAACACAUGCAAGUCGAACGAAGCACGUUUUCUCGGAGAUUCGUCGAAGAGGGAUUUGACUUAGUGGCGACGGGUGAGUAAUGUAUGAGCAACCUGCCUUUCGGAGGGGGACAACAGUUGGAAACGACUGCUAAUACCGCAUAAUGUAUCGAGGGGCAUCCCCAUGAUACCAAAGGAGCAAUCCGCCGAAAGAUGGGCUCAUAUCUGAUUAGUUAGUUGGUGGGGUAACGGGCUCACCAAGACUGCGAUCAGUAGCCGGACUGAGAGGUUGAACGGCCACAUUGGGACUGAGAUACGGCCCAGACUCCUACGGGAGGCAGCAGUGGGGAAUAUUGGGCAAUGGGCGAAAGCCUGACCCAGCAACGCCGCGUGAAGGAAGAAGGUCCUCGGAUUGUAAACUUCUUUAUGAGGGACGAAGGAUGUGACGGUACCUCAUGAAUAAGCCACGGCUAACUACGUGCC